UGGGGAAUAUUGCGCAAUGGGCGAAAGCCUGACGCAGCAACGCCGCGUGGGGGAUGAAGGUUUUCGGAUUGUAAACCCCUUUCGAUCGGAACGAAUCUCCUCCUGGUAAAUAAUCAGGAGGAUCGACGGUACCGGGAGAAGAAGCCACGGCUAACUCUGUGCCAGCAGCCGCGGUAAGACAGAGGUGGCAAGCGUUGUUCGGAUUUAUUGGGCGUAAAGCGAACGCAGGCGGUUUGGUAAGUCAGAGGUGAGAGACCACAGCUUAACUGUGGUAUUGCCUUUGAUACUGCCUUUCUUGAGUGGAGUAGGGGGAAGCGGAAUUCCGAGUGUAGAGGUGAAAUUCGUAGAUAUUCGGAGGAACAUCGGUGGCGAAGGCGGCUUCCUGGACUCUAACUGACGCUCAUGUUCGAAAGCGUGGGUAGCAAACAGG
rnacentral:rRNA from 1 species